CCAAUAGCGUAUAUUAAAGUUGUUGCAGUUAAAAAGCUCGUAGUUGAACCUCGGGAUCAAUGGAUCGGUCAUGCCAUCGGUAUGUACUGGUCUCAUUGGUUCUCACCUUCUAAGGAACCAUGAUGUCAUUCAUUUGAUGUUGUGGGGAAUUAGGACUGUUACCUUGAAAAAAUUAGAGUGUUUAAAGCAGGCUAACGCUUGAAUACAUUAGCAUGGAAUAAUGAAAUAGGACAUCGCAUUCUAUUUUGUUGGUUUCUAGGAUCGAUGUAAUGAUUAAUAGGGAUAGUUGGGGGCAUUAGUAUUCAAUUGUCAGAGGUGAAAUUCUUGGAUUUAUUGAAGACUAACUACUGCGAAAGCAUUUGCCAAGGAUGUUUUCAUUAAUCAAGAACGAAAGUUAGGGGAUCGAAGACGAUCAGAUACCGUCGUAGUCUUAACCAUAAACUAUGCCGACUAGGGAUCGGAUGAUGUUGAUUUUUUAAUGACUCAUUCGGCACCUUACG
rnacentral:rRNA from 1 species